ensembl:lncRNA
GGAAACCAGCUUAUUAAAGGGAACCAUGGAAACAGGAAACAUUUUCAAAAGGAAAUGGAUCUUUUGGUGCAGUGGAGGCAUGAUAUCUAGUUUUUGUGAGGGCAGCAUCCAUCUACAUCAACUCUGUGCCCUGAAGAGAAUGGAAAGAAGAGGAAAAAAAAGCAGUGGGAGACAAGUUUAUGUGAAGGGGCAGUGUAUUAUAAAACUACCUACAUCAAACGAUCUCCAGAAAGUUAAAAUGAUGCCAAUGGAAAGCAGCUGUAGCCGAGAUUCUUAUCCAAGCUCUUGCUGUCAUGUAUAUUUUCUCCUGGCCAACUGACACACAAUGAUGGUGAGAAGAAUCCUGUGGCUAGCAUUUUUGUGGCACCAAGGGACAGAAGUAAACUUGAUUAAUAUAAGACAUAUUUAAAAUGUCUGCACUCCUAGUUUUAUAAUAAAAUAAAAUUCUGAAUUAACA